rnacentral:rRNA from 1 species
CGGCGGACUGGUGAGUAACACGUGGAUAACCUACCUAUAAGACUGGGAUAACUUCGGGAAACCGGAGCUAAUACCGGAUAACAUAUUGAACCGCAUGGUUCAAUAGUGAAAGGCGGCUUUGCUGUCACUUAUAGAUGGAUCCGCGCCGUAUUAGCUAGUUGGUAAGGUAACGGCUUACCAAGGCAACGAUACGUAGCCGACCUGAGAGGGUGAUCGGCCACACUGGAACUGAGACACGGUCCAG